rnacentral:rRNA from 1 species
AUAAUCUGGCACCUUCGGUGUCCCAUUUGUAAUCUCUAGAAAUGUUUUCCGCGUUGGACCGCACACCUUUCUGUUGGAAUACAGCGGCAUAGUGGUGAGACCCCCGUAUAUGGUGCGGACGCCCAGCGCUUUGUGAUACAUUUUCGAAGAGUCGAGUUGUUUGGGAAUGCAGCUCAAAUUGGGUGGUAAAUUCCAUCUAAAGCUAAAUAUUGGCGAGAGACCGAUAGCGAACAAGUACCGUGAGGGAAAGAUGAAAAGCACUUUGGAAAGAGAGUUAACAGUACGUGAAAUUGUUGGAAGGGAAACGCUUGAAGUCAGACUUGCUUGCCGAGCAAUCGGUUUGCAGGCCAGCAUCAGUUUUCCGGGAUGGAUAAUGGUAGAGAGAAGGUAGCAGUUUCGGCUGUGUUAUAGCUCUCUGCUGGAUACAUCUUGGGGGACUGAGGAACGCAGUGUGCCUUUUGGCGGGGGUUUCGACCUCUUCACACUUAGGAUGCUGGUGGAAUGGCUUUAAACGACCCGUCUUGA